GGUCAACCAAGCGUCAGACGAAGAUGGCUAAAUCGGGGCAUCGCAUGUCUUGUGCGGCUCUGUGGCGUUCUAACACCAGGAUUUCCAGUUCUGCACGUUUUCCUAAUGACAGCAGCGGAACCUGCUGCAUGUCUUUUCAGCAUUCGACGUGUCCAAACACAACCCGCAUGGCUGCCAUGGCAACGUCAAAUUAAAGUUUCAAAGCCCCCAAGGAAAGAGUGAAAAACGAAACUAAAAUACACGCAUCAAUACUUUGAGCCUCGUCUGUGAUGUCUCAGGGAGAUAACCGUAUUCGUGGAAAGCACGCAG